UACGGAGGGAGCUAGCGUUGUUCGGAAUUACUGGGCGUAAAGCGCGCGUAGGCGGCUUUGUAAGUUAGAGGUGAAAGCCCGGAGCUCAACUCCGGAAUUGCCUUUAAGACUGCAUCGCUAGAAUUGUGGAGAGGUAAGUGGAAUUCCGAGUGUAGAGGUGAAAUUCGUAGAUAUUCGGAAGAACACCCGUGGCGAAAGCGGCUCUCUGGAACGGUACUGACGCUGAGACGCGAAAGCGUGGGGAGCGAACAGG
rnacentral:rRNA from 1 species